rnacentral:tRNA from 1 species
GCCUGGGGGGCUCAGUUGGUUGAGCGUCCGACUUCGGCUCAGGUCAUGAUCUCGUGGUCCGUGGGUUCGAGCCCCGCCUCGGGCU